CUGGACUGGAGAGUCCAAACUGCAUCCUGGAAACUCUCAGAAAGAAGAUUCAAAACCUGCAGCUACUUGGUCAGCCAAUUUGUACUCAUCAGGCACACCAUGGGGCACACCGAUGGCAUCAAUCAAUGCAUUCCCUAGGGACACUUUGUCUUUGUCCUGAGGCCGAAACAUCAUCAGUGACCCCUCACACCCCCACCAUGGACUGUUCUCCC